GCGUUAGAGGUACUGUGGCACUGGGAAAGCUCGAGCCAGAGGAGCCCCGGGCGGAGUUCCUGCUGAGUAAGUACUGCGGGUAGAAGAACAAGACUAGAGGACACAGGGCAGGAGAGGGCCACAGGGAGACCCGGCUUUGCUUAGAUCCCGCCUCCCCGGGAGCGAGUGGUGAGUGGGCGAUCUGUACAGGAGCGCUGCAAAAAGAAAUUCAAAGAAAGGACCACACCACCUCUGAAAGCAGGGCACCCUGCAGCCAUCACGUGCAGCGAAACGAACCAGUCAACAAGCUUGAGCGCCGAGCAACUCCCCUUACUGGAGAAGCCCAAAGUGUAAAUCAUUUAAUGAGCUAGAGAAAGGACGAGCAACAGGAAAACGGGAGGCAGAACCUGGUAAACGGUUCGGGAGACGAGGAAGGGGUGGAAGGGAAGAAUCGGGAGGCGUUAUGUGCAUGGACCUGCCUCACGCCAUGCAUGUUCAUCGCCGUGUACUACAAACACGCACUCACCCAAGGGUUUUUGUUUUUUUAAUAAAACAAGGGAACCAAAGAAAGGGCCACUUAGCAACCGUGCGAUGCACAGGACCCAAGCCCUCUGAGGGCGAACCCGUAACAGACCAUCGAGAGGCCGUGGCGGCGCCUCUCGCAAAAUCAGGCCUCGCGCUGGAUGGGUCAGGCGAGCAGCAGGCGCAGCAGCUGGUGGCAGCCGGGAGUGACCUUCCUUGGGACCUCUGUUCACCCAGGGAGCCUCGCCACCCCUCGAGCCCUGGCAGCCCAGCCCGGGGCGGGCGGGCACAGAUCUGAGAAACUAAGAGGACGAGAAGGCCCUGGAGACAGGGAGGAGAGACAGUCACCACACUGAGCUCGCCCUGCAUGUUACGGCCAACAGUCAGUCACAGCCACGAGCCACGCUCCGCGGCAACGGUAACAACAGCCCGACGAAGGCGCGUCGGCCUUCGCGCCCACGGCCACCACCGGUCGGCUGGGCAGCGCGGGAGUCCAGGCUUCGGGCACCGCACCAGACUCCACAGCAAGG
rnacentral:lncRNA from 1 species